UCAAAAACUGUGAGAUUGUGACCUGAGCCGAAGUCGGACGCUUAACAGACUGAGCCACCCAGUGGACUGAAAGAGAUUGGGAGUUGAUUGGAUAGUCAGAGAUGGGUGCAGAAUUUAAACUCCUGGAUCAUAGAAAAAAUUAAUGAAAUAGCAGAAAGAAUCGUAUAGUGGGCACAUUUUGUUGCUGAACAUGUUAGUCAAAUGUUGGUUGAUAAUUUCUACCUACAACGUUAGCAAGAAUUUUGGUGAAUGGACUAUGAAAAGAUGGGCAGAGACAUUAUCCGGGAUGCUGGAGAUACAGCAGUGAACAAAAUCCACACGCCCCUCUGCCACCUGGGAGCUUACAUCAAAGAGUGAGGUGGAGAAUAAACAAGACUCCCUGUGAUCUGGCUACAUGCUGUAAACUGCUCACAGUGGUUCCUGCCUCCACGCCUCAUGAACAUGGUUCCUGUGUGUAGCCCAAUGCCAACCAGUUCUUUCCUGACAUGACUUUGUCCUGGGACACCUGCUCUUUCUUGCCCUGGAGACUCAAUGAUUUUAUGUCUGGAGGUUCAUAAGUCACAAGAUAUCUGGAAUUAGGUGGGAGACCAUGCUGGUGACAUUUGGAAGAACCUGGCUGGGGAAGAAUGAAGCUCAAUUAUUUUUGUCUACUUUGCUAACAAUUCAGAGUUCUGAAAAGUCUGGAUCGCACUAUGAGAAGUUUGUGUGCUUAGUGAAAUGUUGUCCAAUUGGCCAAUCCACUUGGUCUUGGGAAAUGUCCUAGAAGCUUGGCAAGAAAAUGUUCUCAAGAGAGCACAAAUGCUGCCAAUUUCCAAUUGGCCAAGACACAUUACAAGGACAACCUUCUCUCCGAGCAACCUGGCAUUUCCACUCCAAUUGGAAUCUGCAACACAAAGAUGCACGCGGGGGAAAGACUAAGUAAACAAACCUUUCAGGUUUCCGCUCCAGGUGAGUCUUUCAUUCCGGUCUAUCUGGUGAAUCUUUCAUUUUACAUCUGGUCAGCUCCAAUCUUCUUUUGAUCACUGACCAUUGCAAAUAUGAGGGAACAGUGGGUGCCCAUUACAGGUUAGUUUUAGACGUGAGAAACAGCCAAGGUGAAUGCAGGAAGAGCGAACGGAUCUAUUUUUACACGUACACACAAGACAUCGAACCUGCCUGAACAGUCCAAAUUGUUGCUAAUAAAAUUUUAGAUUUGCUCUGUGAGAAAACCUGCCUGUCAUAUUGGCCCUUGCUCAAGUAGCUCCCAAGCCCCCGGUGCCUGUGUGGAAAAUGAUGACAGCUGUGCUCUUUGCCUGGCUGCUUCCAUUUAUGAAAACAUGGGGGUAAAUGGCAGCCACCCCCACAGGCCCAUUUACUGGGAAUCUUCUUUUGUAGCCACAGCCAAGAGUAAAGGGCCCCAACAGAAUUGAAUAACAUUCAGGCCCUACCUCAAAUAGGUUUAAUUUGCUUUUUACAAAAAAAAGACCUUAGGAAACUGGAAAAAAAAAAAAAAAAGAUAUUUACCUAUUUGGAAUUUCUGAAAAAAUUUUUUUCUUAUAAAACAGCACUCAUUUUAUGCUAUUUUAACCAACCACUUGUGACAGUUUAGGUAAGCAAGACAAAAAUAUCCGAUUAUGCCAAAUAAAAUUUUCCUCCUACAGUUUAUUUUUGGGUGUGGCUGAGGAGGGAUUAGAAGGCUUGGAAGCCUACACAUGUCCCUUGGCAAAUCUGGCCUUAUUCUGCCUGUAAGCACUAUCAAUGAUGUCACCUCUGCAAACAGAGCCUAGUGGCCGAUUAGUUGAGAUGGUUCCUUGAGUGGAUUUAUUUUUUCUUGUCUCUAGAAUUCCAGUUUCCUUUAUUGCCACACCUCUCAGUCCUGUGCUUCUGGGAUUGUGAUCAUGCCCUGUAGCUCUAUCUGCCUGACCAUCAGAGCAGCGCAGUGUGGUCCCUGCCCUGCCUUGUGCAGACAGCCCAGAAGGGGAGCUGAGGGCACCUAGGAGCAAGCCCAGCCCCAUCCCCUGUGUACUCCUCUUGACCCAUGCUCCUGGAACCCGAAAGCCAUUCUCAGAAAACCUCCUCCACACUAGCCUCUUUUAUUUCUGUUAUAGCCACAUUACUGUAAAUCCCUUGGCCACCAUAGAAAUCCCAGUCUAGAAGGGCUUUAGCUGGUGAAGGUCUCUAUCAGAUGACUGGCAAUCAGUAGAGAUUUUGUCUUUCGCUCCUGUUUGGUGUCAUCGUUCUGUACCAGAGAUGUGACUCCAUCCUCUGUAUGGAAUGCCUGGGGCAAAGCUCUCUUCACACAUUAGUUAUAAAUGAUGAGUAAAUGAGUGGAAGGAUAAUCCCAAGGGACACACACCUAUCAGCUUUCAUGUCUUCGAUGAAUGCUGGGAGACCUUCCCAGAUUGUUCCACAGGUUUUCAUUCCAGUGUUUUAGCACUCGAUUUGCUAUCAAUACAUAUUUUUCACCCCUCUUUGGUGCCAGGCAUUGUUAAAAGUCCGAUAAUUCAGUGUCUUGGGCACCAGCCAUCAAGUUGAAGGGAUGUCAACUCAGCAAUCUAAAGCAGGCGGAAGGUGCUUUGACAGGGACAUGCACAGGUGUGGCGGGAGUCUGGAAGGAGCACCCAACCCCGACUAAAGGAGUUAGGGAAGUCUGCCUGGAAGAGAUGCCACCUCAAAUUAAAAAAAUAGUUGGCACUAGUGUAGUAAGGAAGAGGUAGGAGAAGGAAGAGAAAGAUUGACUUUUUGAAGGCAUGCAGGCCUAAAGCUUACUGAAUUAAAAGUAAAUUCACAAGUUCUUUAUUGUAUCCAAAUCACGUCUGCUGUCUUCUUAUAGUCCAUUUCCUUUUGUUGGACUAGCUUUGCAGGUGGGAGACUCAUCAUCCAGCAUUUCCCACAUAGUCAUCUUCACAUUUUUUGUGAUAAAUUCUGUAUCCUCUAUCUUAAGAGGGAGAUGGGGACAAUGGCGUUUGCUCAGAAAACAACAACAACAACAACAACAACAACAACAACAACGUUGUGAGAGAACUUAAAAGUUGGGACAUGAAAUAAAUUUCUGAAGGAGCUGGUGUUGUUCUGCCUGAAGAAAUGACAACUCAAAGGGCUCCAAAUUUUUGAAGGAUUAUAGUUUAGAAGAUGGAUUCAUCCAGCCUUGACAAUUCUUCAUGGCGCCACUGGGUUUCCUGUCAGAUAUCAAGAAUUAACCCAACCCCAUGACUGUGGUGCCAACAGCAGUCAUUACUAUGUAUGCAGUACUCUGGAUGAACUUUCCUCACUAUUCUGAGGUUGGACAUUGUCAGGGUGCUGCUGAGGGUUCAACUGAGACCAGUGGGUAAAAGACAGGGAUUCAACUUUAGAAACGGCCAGAGGUGCUCAAUGAUGGAAUAAGUUGCUCCUAGAUGUGGAAGUCUCCUAACAGGAGAAGUUUUCAGAGGCAUGUUUUGGGGAAAAUGUCAAACUACCAAGUCUCCUGAAGGCUCUACCCUCCCACACCCAGCCGUAUGGUGAAAGAGGCAAAAGAGAAGCUGUCUCUGAGAAGCAGCAAAGUCAGAGAUCAGCCAGUUGCCUGGUACCAUGAUGUCACCUACUACUGUUUAGUUUCCAUCCACCAGGUCUACACUAGUGAAUACUCCAGGACCAGUAAAGUCACUUGUUUGCCAGCAGCAGCAGUUAUUUCUGCAUUGACCAAGCUGGUACUUUGCUCACCAUCAAACCCAGUCCAAGUAUAGGUGGCUGCUUCUGGAAUUAACUUCCAAACGCUGGAUGGAAGUCAGGUGUGUUUUCACCGGGUCCGUGCAAAUCCAGGCAUUGGGUUGAUGUUGUGGAUAUAACAGGACUGAUUUCUGGCCUUUGGGGAGCCAGCACACAGACAAUGAAGCAGGAAAACAUGAUGACCUAUGAUCCACCAGAAUGGAAGCUCCAUGAAUGCAGGAUGGUGCUUUUUUCUGCUUUUGCUCACUACUGUAUCACAAGCCCUUAGGGCAUUGCCUGCAAGCAGUAGGUACUCAACAAGUAUUUGUUGAAAGGUUAAAUAUGAUAAGAGAAAAGUAGAAAGGUGACCAAACAUGGGAUAGAAAGGAAUGUUAACCAGAGGAAGUGACAUAUAACAACCCCCUAAAGCAUAAGUGAGUUAGCCUGGAAAAGUAGGGAGAUCAUGAUUUUUUGCUUUUCACUUGCUUUUUAUUUGGGGUCUGUACUGCUUCCUGUGAUGUCUCCAUAGCUAAAUUCUUUUAUUUUUAUUUAGUUUCUGACAAACUGACAUGCAGUAAGUAUGGAUCUUUAUUUAGCAUUUGCAAUGUCCAAAGUGGAAUUCUUAACCGAAGCUACUACUAGCUUCUGACUAUUUAGGUCUCCUGAGAUCGCUGAGGCCAGGUCCUGCGUGCUUAAUUGAAUACGUCACUUAUGUAUGCAUUCACGUAUUCAUUCAUUAUACACAUGUUUGUUCAGCACCCACCGUAUGCAAGAUAAUAGCUAUGUACUAAGGUGCCAGCAGAGACUGAUCAGCAAGCAUUGGAUCAAGGAAUUGACAGUUCCCCAGAUUUGAGCGUUUAUGGGGAAAAUUGAUGACAGAAGAAUAAGGUUUCGAACAGCCGUGGUCUGUGUCCAGUCCAUUAGCAAGCGAUUUUGGCAUAAGCAGCAUAGAAAUUAGCAGGUCAUGCAACUAGAUCUUUCCCUUCUGUAGUUGAAUCAAAUUAUCUCUUAGGGCGCCUGGUUGGCUCAGUUGGUUGAGUGUCUGACUUCGGCUCAGGUCAUGAUCUGAGCACCCUGGGUUCAGAGCCCCGUGUCGGGCUCUGUGCUGACAGCUGAGAGCCUGG